rfam:Schistosoma rodhaini strain Burundi genome assembly, scaffold: SROB_scaffold0003987
AUUCAGCUGACGAGUCCCAAAUAAGACGAAAGAGCAUUUCAACUGGAU